rnacentral:rRNA from 1 species
UACAGAGGGGGCAAGCGUUGUUCGGAAUUACUGGGCGUAAAGGGCGCGUAGGCGGCCUUCUAAGUCGAACGUGAAAUCCCUGGGCUCAACCCAGGAACUGCGUCCGAGACUGGGAGGCUAGAAUCCGGGAGAGGGAUGUGGAAUUCCAGGUGUAGCGGUGAAAUGCGUAGAUAUCUGGAGGAACACCGGUGGCGAAGGCGGCAUCCUGGACCGGCAUUGACGCUGAGGCGCGAAAGCUAGGGGAGCAAACGGG